CCUUCUACUAUGCUGGCGUCCCUCACGUCUCUCCGGCUGGAAUCGGAGCUUUCUGUUCCUUUCUCCUGGCCUUUAGGAGUGUGUGACUUCAGCUACGAGACUUCCUUCGGCAGACUCAGUUACCGCGAGGGACGUGGGGUCCUAAGAAAAACCUCACUGAUGGAGAAAACCACUGCUGACUCAGAGUGAUGUGGAGCCAAACCUGCAAUCUCUCUGAGGUAUUCCUUUGUUUAAGGACUCUGCCCAAUCAUUUGCUGACCACUAAGAUAAUAUAACAGAGACUUCAGGAGCCACAUAAAACAAAGAAUAGACUACAGAAUUUGUCUGUUUAGAAAAGUCAUUAAACAAUAACAACUACAAUAAGCAGCAACAACAAAUCCUCGGAAAUGGAGAGUUGAUACAAUUAUUAUCACCCGAAGUCCAUAAUUUACAUUAAGAUUCAUUCCUGGUGUUGUACAUUCUAUGAGUUUUGACAAAUGUUUAAUGACAUGUAUCUGCAAUUACAGUAUUGUACAUAGUAGCCCUAAAACUCCUCUGUGCUCUGCCUAUCCAUCCUUUUCUCCCUCUAACCCCAGGCAACCAUUCAUCUUUUUACUGUCGCCAUAGUUUUGCCUUUUCCAGAAUGCCGUAUAGUUGCAAUCAUAUAAGAUAUACCCUUUCCAGAUUAGCUUUUUUCACUUUGUAAUAUGUGAUAAAUGUUCCUCUAUGUCUUAUCAUGGCUUGAUAACUUACUUCUUUUCAGUGAUAAUAUUCCUUUUUCUGGAUGUACCACAGUUUAUUUAUCCAUUCACCUACUAAAGGGCAUAUUGGUUCCUCCCAUGUUUUGGUAAUUAUGAAUAAAGCUGAUAUAAACAUCCAUGUGCAGGUUUUGUGUAAACAUGAGUUUUUAACUCCUUUGGCUAAAUACCAAAAUUAUGAUUGCUAGAUUGGGUGGAAAAUUAUGUUUCGUUUUUCAGAAGCCACCAAAUGCCUUCCAGAGUGGCUGUACUAUUUUGCAUCCCUGCAAGCAAUGUAUGAGAGUUCCUGUUGCUGCAUAUCCUCAAUAACAUUUGAUGUAAUCAAAUGGUUUGAAUUUUAGCUAUUCUAAUAGAUGUAUGGUGAUACCUUGUUUUAAUUUGCAAGUCCCUGAUGAAAUGUGAUGUUGAGCAUCUUUUCAUAUGAUUAUUUGAUAACUGUGUAUCUUCUUUAAUAAGGUGUCUAUUCAUACCUUUAGCCCAUCUUUUAGUCAGGUUGUGUGUUAUUGUUGGGUUGUAAGAGUUCUUUGUAUAUUUUGGAUAACAGACCUUUAUCAGAUCUGUCUUUUACAAAUAUUUUCUCCCACUCUGUGGCUUGUCUUCUCCUUCUCUUGACAGUGUCUUUUUGCAGAGGAGAAGUUUUUAAUUUUAAUGAAGCCCAGGUUAUCAAUUCUUUCAUGGAUUUUGCCUUUGGUGUUAUACCUAAAAAGUCAUCACCAUGCCCAAGGUCAUAUAGAUUUUUUCCAAUGUUAUCUUCUAGGAGUUUUAUAGUUUUGCAUUUUACUCUUAGGUCUGUGAUAUAUUUUUAGUUAAUUUUUGUAAAAGGUAUAAGGUCUGUGUCUAGAUUCACAUUUUUGCAUAUGAAUGUGCAGUUAUUCCAACACCAUUUGUGGAAGAGUCUACGUUUGCUCCAUUGUGUUGCCUUUGCUUCUUUGUCAGAGAUCAGUUGAUUAUAUUUAUAUGGGUAUAAUUCUGGGCUCUCUAGUCUAUUCCAUUGAUCUACAUGUCUGUUCUUUUGCCAGUACCACACUGUCUUGAUUACUGUAGUUUAUAGUAAGUCUUAAGGUAAGCUUGUGUCAGCCUUCUGACUUUGUUCUUUUCCUUCAAUAUUGUGCUGGCUAUUCUGGGUUUUUAUCUCCCCAUGUACAUUUAGAAACAGUUGUUGAUAUCCAAAAAAUAAUUUAUUAAGAUUAUUAGGAUUGCAUUGAAUCUAUAUAUCAAGUUGGGGAGAACUGACAUCUUGACAAUAUUGAGUCUUCUUAUGCAUGAAUAUGGAAUAUCUAUUUAGGUCUUUGAUUUCUUUCAUCAGAGAUUUGUAGUUUUCUUCAACUAGAUCUUGCACAUAUUUUGUUAGAUUUAUACCUAAGUAUUUCAUUUUGUGGGGAGGGGUGCUAAUGUAUGUGCUAUCUUUUAAAAUCUCAAAUUCUACUUGUUCAUUGUUGGUACACAGGAAAGCCAUAUACUUUUGUAUAUUAACCUUGUAUGCUGCAACUUUGCUAUAAUUGCUUAUUAGUCCCAGAAAGGUGUUUUUGGCAAUUAUUUCACAUCUUAUGUAUAAACAAUCAUGUCAUCUAUGAACAAAGACAGUUCUAUUUCUUCUUGAAACUCUAUAUCCAUUGAACAAUAACACCCAAUUCCACCCUCCCCCCAGCUGCUGGCAGCCACCAUUCUACUCUCUGCUUCUCUGAGUUCGACUACUCUAAGUACCUCAUGGAAGUAGAAUUAUAUAGAAUUUGUUUUUUUGUGACUGUCUUAUUUCAUUUAGCAUAAUAUCCUCCAGGUUCAUUCAUGUUGUAGCAUAUGUCAGAAUUUUCUUCCUUUUUAAGGCUGAAUAAUAUUCUAUUGUGUGUAUAUAUUACAUACAAUGUAUGCGUCCAUUACUGGGCACUUGGGUUUCUUCCAUGUUUUAGCUACUGUGAAUAAUGCUGCUGUGAGCAUGGUUGUACAAAACAUCUCUUUGAGACGCAGCUUGCAAUUCUUUUGGGUACAUACCCAGAAGUGGAAUUGCUGGAUCUUAUGGUAAUUCUAUUUUUAAUUUUUUGAGGAACUACCAUACUGUUUUCCACUGUACCAUUUUACUUUCCCACCAACAGUACACAAGCGUUCCACUUUCUCCAAAUCCUUGCCAACACUUUUUAUUUUCUGGUUUUUUGAUAUUAACUAUUCUACUGGAUAGGAGGUGGUAUCUCAUUUUACUUUUAAUUUGCAUUUCCCUAAUGAUUAAUGUUGUUGAUCUUUUUUUUCAUGUGCUUAUUGGCCAUUUAUAUAUCUUCUUUGGAGAAAUGUCUAUUCAAGUCCUUUGCUGAUUUUUGAAUCGAGCUGUAUGGUUUUUUUGUUGAUGAGUUUUAGGAGUUCUCUAUACAUUCUGGAUAUUAAUCCCUUAUCUGAUAAAUGAUUUACAAGUA